rnacentral:lncRNA from 10 species
AUAGAUCUUCCAAGGAAGUUUUCAUUACAGAGCCAAAGUCGAUUACAACUUUGAGAAGCUAGAAGUAGAAUCUGAUUUCUGGGGGAUUAAUUCUUCCCUCGUUCAAAUAGCAUAUAUGAGAAUGGAAAGCUGCCUGUGAGAAAUAUGUUGGAGCGUGUGCUGGGACAAAGUCAACAGGUUGAAUGGCACUGAAGAAUAAAUGUCAUGCCUCUAAACAGCUCAUUGGAGAUGAGACCUGGUGACUUUGCAAAGUGAAGAAAUCCGUCUGAGGGAGGUUUAUAAAUCUCUACCCAUCACAGAAUUGGAAUUAGAGUGUAUUUGCAAACAUGUCAAGACACUGAAAAGAUUUUGCUCCCUUUAAUGGUUAGAAGCAUUACUUAGAUUGAGGCAAUAGCAAUUAUGAAUCAGAAGAAUUAUCAAAAUGAUAUAAGGGAAGAAUUGGAUUCAAGAGAGAUGUACAAGAUGGAGUUUGAAGAACUGCAGAUGCAGAGACUGAGAGCGCUCCCCCGUUAUCUUGAAGGAUUUCAUCUCAUAACACAGUCAGUCUUUCACAGACAAAGAAGCUGGAGCCAUAGAAUUAUAAUGAUGAAGGAAGAUGUGAAUGAAAACUCCAGUCAGGAUCCCUUGUCCUGUUGCUACCAGAUAAUGCCACUGUCUCUCCUUGAGCCAUUGUGAGAACUAAGUAAUGAAGUCUCAAGAAGAAAGCAAGGUUUCCUCGAAAAUCAGAGCUCUUCAUUCAAUUUCAGAUGGAAACCUUGGAAGCACAGUAUACAAAGAUAUACACUGCUAUAAAGAACUACCUGAGAUUGGGUCAUUUAUGAAGAAAAAAGGUUUAAUUGACUCACAGUUCUGCAGGCUGUACUGAAAGCAUGGCUAGGAAGCCUCAGGAAACUUACAAUCAUGGCAAAAGGGUGAAGGGGAAGCAAGAACCUUCUUCUCAUGGCAGCAGGAGAGAGAGAGAAUGAAGGGGGAGGUGCCACACACUUUUAAAUCAUCAG